CGUUGGUACGCGCUUUAGAGAUACGUGCCUUUUUUCUAUGCGCGUGCCAGAAAAUCGAGUCCUGUAUUGAAAUACAUACGGAUCUGACAAAAGGUUGGACGGUCGUCGGCCGAUGGUGAGGUGAGCCGCGGACCAGAAUCCACGUUCCCGUCUGAUCCGUGGCUCGGUAAUUUCGCUUUCCGUCCAGUGGAUCCAGACCCGAGAUGAAUGCAGGGACGAGAGAGUUCUUGGCUAGGGCGUGGUUCAGUUCGAAGCUGUGGACUGCUAGAUAGAAGCAAGGAGCGCCGACGGCCAGACACCCUGGGGUUUCUGAUGCAGCUAAUCGGCAGAUCCAGUGUCCUUGAGGAGGUUGGGGAAAACUUGGUGCCGGUUCCGGUGGCUGUGAGUGUCCCUGGGGUGGGGGAUUUGGAGGUGGCCCAGCAGGCGGAGCGCGAGGCAGCCGGCGGUGGACAGCGGCGACACACAAAUCUAGUUCGCACACGAAGCGGCGGCCAACAGAAGGGAGAGCUCGCCGGCGAUGUCGGAGCUGUCAACGGGAAAGAUGAAUCCCCAAGCACUGGGGUGGAUCAAAAGGCUUAGCAUUGGUGUUGCCGCACCUAGCAGAACACCAUUAUUUGCGGCUGGAUGGAGUUAUUGUAGGGCUCGUUUCCUCUCUGGAGCUCCUGGAAGUUUCAAUUGUGAAAUAGAGGAGCUUGUAGAGGCGAAGUCGGGCGUAGGAGACGACGCCAUUGAUGGAUUUCUUAAUGCAGCCUAUCAGCAGAUUCCAUGUGCUUUAAGAGGUGGAGGACAAUGAAGCGCCAUGGAUCUGCGACCUUACGUAGUGGCUGCUUUGGUGGGGGAGCUGGAACAAGCGCCGGUGCCAGUCUCAAGUGUAGACGCUUAGAUCUGGGAUGAAGAAGGGAGAACUCAACCCAGGUGUCCGAGCAGUCAACCGGCAAGAUGAACCUGCAAGCCCGGGGAUGGACUAAGAAUAAGAGGCUAGCUUCGCUGGCGUCUGCUCGACGGAGUGGUGCAUCCAUGGCAGCCGCGGCCGUCCUCCUCUUGCGAUGGUGCGGGGUCAGCGAUACGGUGCUUUCUUAGCGCCUCCAGCAACAGCGGCGCGACCUGGCGGCGUGAUACCACCAUGACUUGUAGCCAGGGCAGCGGCAGUCGUCCUCCCGGGGCGAGAGCGAGCAAUGGCGACGGCGAGCGAACGGGUUGUUUAUGGGCUGCACAGCAAUGUUGUUAUUCUUAUUUGUUUUCACCUUGCUGCUGUCGAAUGACGCAUGUGAUUUGAAUUCGACAUCCCUCUACCGUAAAUGUGCCCACACUGGCUCUACUUACAGAAGAUUUUGUUGAGUUUGGCCCCGAUGGUCAGUUGAGAACCAUUGGGUGAAGAUGUUUGUGACACAUCAUCGUUUACAAGGAGGGCUAAAUGUAUGGUAAAUGGGCAAUCACGUGGCGGCACGUCUGCGAUCUCCAUUUUCUGGAAGAACUGAUGUACGUACAUCUUUGAAAUGUUGGGCUAUGAAUUCAUGGAGAGGAUUAUGCACAAUAGUUUUCCAAGAGGAUUAUGCACAAUAGUUUUUCUAGGUUUGUGAGAUGUGGACGUGAUUAUGGACAAGUUCAGCUCGCUGGUGUGGGCGUGAUUGGAUGCAACAGUGUGGUGAUGCUGAAGCUCAAUUACGUCUUUACCUGAACUUCAAUUGCUUGUAAACAUACAACUCUUGAAUAAGAUUACUUGUUGCUGCAAGAGUUUAAUGCGUUCUGCAUUGAUAAC